AUUCGUCCCCAUCGACGACGACACCGACGACAUCGACACCGACGACCACGACGAGCUCCUCGCCCCUGUGUUCUUCAUCAUCAAGCUCCUCUUCACCUUCCUCCACGGCGAAUUACUCUCCUGUUUCCAACUCUCUAACCCGCCGCUCUUUCCCGGCGGCGGGGUCGCAUCCCCUCCACCAUCGUCAACGUCUCCGUACACGUCCACUUCUUCCUCCGCCUCGAAUCUGAACAUGAAUAGCGCGUGCUUUGCGGCGGCGUUACUGUUUCCGUUACUGC
rnacentral:lncRNA from 1 species